rnacentral:rRNA from 1 species
GUGUCAGCAGCCGCGGUAAUACGUAGGGUGCAAGCGUUAAUCGGAAUUACUGGGCGUAAAGCGUGCGCAGGCGGUUAUGUAAGACAGAUGUGAAAUCCCCGGGCUCAACCUGGGACCUGCAUUUGUGACUGCAUAGCUAGAGUACGGCAGAGGGGGAUGGAAUUCCGCGUGUAGCAGUGAAGUGCGUAGAUAUGCGGAGGAACACCGAUGGCGAAGGCAAUCCCCUGGGCCCGUACUGACGCUCAUGCACGAAAGCGUGGGGAGCAAACAGGAUUAGAUACCCUGGUAGUCCACGCCCUAAACGAUGUCAACUGGUUGUUGGGUCUUCACUGACUCAGUAACGAAGCUAACGCGUGAAGUUGACCGCCUGGGGAGUACGUGCGCAAGCAUGAAACUUAAAGGAAUUGACGG